rnacentral:lncRNA from 1 species
GCUGCUUGGUUCUGCACUGUGGUGACUCUGGUUUACUUCCACUCACUGAAUUUCUUUCUUCAAAACCUAUUAUUUCAUUCUUUGGAGGUUCGUUCAUCACGCUUAUCUUCUCUUCUAUUUUCCUACUUUUACUUUUCUUCUAUAACCUUGUUUUGCUUACAAUCCAUAAUUUAUAUAUGUUCCAUUUCCGCAACUGUAAGUAGUGUUUUAUUCGCAAUGUCUUGUACUUGACUAGACCCUUACGAUUAUGGAUCUGAAUUUUAUUUAUAUUAUUUUCCUUUUCUUCUAUGCUUUUCACUAUUGUAGUUUGAUUAUUUGAAAUGGUAUGGUAUUUCUGUUGAAUUUUCGUCUUUUGUUGUAUAGAUCUGACGUUUCACGAGAAUAAUAUGUUCUAGCUUAUUCUGUCUCUCUGUGUCUGUCUGGGUCUAGUUUUUGUGCCUCAUGUGAUACUGUUCAUUUAGUUUUUUCUUUGCCCUUUAGCGUUCUCUUAAUUUAAAAUGACUUCUUUGAGGGCUAAUUUUUCUUCUUUCAGAAAUCCAAGAUUCGUUUCAACUUGGUGGCCGCAAAUCUUUGUGUAUACUUUCUUAUCGUUUUGUCUGCAAUUGGUUUUUUAGGACCAUAAGUUUUUUCUGAAAGUAGAUCAGGAUGAACUAUUUUAAUCCUACUUGGCAUAAACUUUGGUGAUUUUCUAUCAAUUUGUUGUAGGGAUUUAUGCUUUAAUUUAUUUUCUUUGGACUAUGAUCUCGAAUCUCAGCUUCCAUUAUAGCACCGACAUAAAUUUUUUGCUCAAGCAUAUGUAGUUUGUAAGACUAAACAUUGUGUUUUCUGCAGCUUGAUAAAUGGCAACUGAAACCUUUCUAUUCACAUCUGAGUCCGUGAACGAGGGUCACCCCGACAAGCUGUGCGACCAGAUCUCUGAUGCAGUGCUCGACGCGUGCCUUGCACAAGACCCUGACAGCAAGGUUGCCUGCGAAACAUGCACCAAGACAAACAUGGUCAUGGUCUUUGGGGAGAUCACAACCAAGGCCGAAGUAGACUACGAGAAGAUUGUCCGUGAGACAUGCCGCAGCAUUGGCUUCAUCUCUGAUGAUGUUGGUCUUGAUGCUGACAAGUGCAAGGUGUUGGUCAACAUUGAGCAGCAGAGCCCUGAUAUCGCCCAGGGUGUGCACGGCCACUUCACCAAGCGCCCGGAGGAGGUUGGUGCUGGUGACCAGGGUCACAUGUUUGGCUAUGCCACUGACGAAACCCCUGAAUACAUGCCGCUCAGCCAUGUCCUUGCANNNNNNNNNNNNNNNNNNNNNNNNNNNNNNNNNNNNNNNNNNNNNNNNNNNNNNNNNNNNNNNNNNNNNNNNNNNNNNNNNNNNNNNNNNNNNNNNNNNNACCGAGGUUAGGAAAGAUGGUACCUGCGCUUGGUUGAGGCCAGAUGGUAAAACACAAGUAACUGUUGAGUACAACAAUGACAACGGUGCCAUGGUUCCAAUCCGUGUUCACACUGUUCUAAUUUCCACCCAACAUGAUGAGACUGUGAGCAAUGACCAAAUUGCUGCUGACCUUAAAGAGCAUGUUAUCAAGCCAGUCAUUCCCGAGAAGUACCUUGAUGAGAAGACCAUCUUCCACCUUAACCCAUCGGGUCGGUUCGUGAUUGGUGGCCCCCAUGGUGAUGCUGGUCUCACUGGAAGAAAGAUCAUCAUUGAUACCUACGGUGGCUGGGGUGCUCAUGGUGGUGGUGCCUUUUCAGGCAAGGACCCAACCAAGGUUGACAGAAGUGGUGCCUAUAUUGUGAGGCAGGCUGCAAAGAGCGUUGUGGCAAAUGGGUUUGCCAGAAGGUGCAUUGUCCAAGUUUCUUAUGCCAUCGGUGUCCCUGAGCCCUUGUCAGUCUUUGUUGACACCUAUGGAACCGGAAAGAUUCCUGAUAAGGAAAUUCUUCAGAUUGUGAAGGAGAAUUUCGACUUCAGACCUGGAAUGAUCACCAUUAACUUGGACCUCAAGAGGGGUGGCCACAGGUUCCUGAAGACAGCUGCUUAUGGACACUUCGGAAGGGAUGACCCUGACUUCACAUGGGAAGUGGUGAAGCCACUCAAGUCAGAGAAGCCUCGGGUCUAGGCUUAUGGUCAACUUAAUCCCUCCCUUCAAUAGAUGUCUUGCUAAGUAUUGAUGAAUAAUUUGCGUGUUUCAUUAGUACUACAAUCCUAGGUCUAAUGCCAUUUCCUUAUCAUACAAAAUUUGUUUUUUUACUUAACAUUUAUUUUUUUGUUCAUUCAAUAUUACUGUUUUGAUGCAAUUAAAUUUUAUCUGAAUCCCUAUUGAUUGUAAUUUGAAAGGGUGAAAAAGCCCUCUGCAACGUAUUUUAUAUUUCACAAAAUUGAAAUAUUCCCUCUCAAGCUGUCUCUCUCUACUUGGUUCUGAUUCGUCUCUCUUCCUCUCUCGGAUCUCUGCAUGUCUUCUCAAAUUAGAUAAAGGGUUUGAUUCUUCAGUUUGUGUUUCGGCUUUUGAUUUUUUUAUUUUAUUUGUCCGAUUUGAUUAUGGAAUUUGCCAAUGUUGUUCUAAAAUUGUAGUAAUCAGGAUUUGGAUGGUGUUUCAAUGAUAUUUGUUUGGAGCCGAAUAAUCUGGCAAGCAAAUUUAAAAAACUGAAUGAUAUUGCUUUCUGUUACAAUCGAAGUAAGAGCAAAAUAUGUAAAUGUUUUCUCUGAAGAAAAAAUUGAAAUUGCACAAGUAGAUCAAAUAUUUUCUUGACAUAUUUUUAUCCACACAUUAAGAACCCAAUCUUGUCCAUGUGCUUUGAUGCAUUUUGAAUUUAAUUAACGUUGCAUGUUUUUCAAACCCAAAUAAAUUAUUGGUUGUAAUAAAGUUUACAGUGUCCUUUCUCUAAAAAAACACAAUUAUUAUACCAUAACAAAAUCGUGACAAGUUGUGUGAUGAUAGCAUGUUGCACGUUACCACAUUUAUGGUAGAUCCAUCCAGAAUAUCAGAUCUGCACCUUUGCGUUGAAAAAUAGUAAGUUGGAAGCACUAACACACCUUAAACGCGGAAACAAAUCAGACUUCAAUAAUAAUAUAUUGAAAAGAUUAGAGAGGCAUGUGGCCCAAUUCUUUACCGAUGAAAGGAAUGUGUACAUAUCCUAAUUACCACUACUCAUACAUUCAUUCAGAUAAUACUCCUAAUUACGAUAAUUAUUCAAUAUUUCUUAUUAAUAGUUUGAGUCCAACUUUUAAAUAAGUGAUGACUUUUUCCGUAAUGGGCACACAAGUGAUGACUUUUUCCGUAAUGGGCACACUAAAUUCUAUCUCAUCUCAUACUCUUAAUUCUUUUAUUAUGUUUUUUUUAACUUAAACAUAAAAAAUGUAUUUAGUUAGAGACUGAUUGAAAGUUUGUUUAUCAAAGAAUAUCUUGGCAUUGUUGAAUUAUAUUUUUCUGUUUUAUUUUUAUAAAUGAAGAUUAAUGAUUGUGAUAUGAAGCUCGAACACUUCUCUUAAAUAGCGUAUCGGUGUCAGAUAUUCGUAUUGACACCGAAAUUCAUAUGAUACUUUUAAGACACGUAUCCGUGAAAUGUCUAAUUCAAAAAGUAUUUAUUGAAUUUUUAACAAUUCUAAUACGAUUUUAACACAAUUUUAAAAAGAAAAAAUACAUUAAUUUUUGAAAGACUCAAACUUAUUGUAUAAUUUUUUAUUAUAAUUAUAAAAAUAAGAAAUAAAUUAUUUUGAACCAAUAAUGAAAAAUAUCUUUUUAUUUUAAAAUAUAAUUUGAAAUAUACUUGUGUACAUAAAUCUUUAUUUUCAAUUUAUAUAAUUAAUAAUUAUAUAAUAUAUAGAUUUAUGUCUUUAUGUCUUACAUUUUAGAAAUUAUAUGUAUCUCCAUGUUCCAAUCGUAUUUAUGUUACAUAGAUCGUGAUUAUGCGUGAUUAAUAAAGUGUUUCUAUGCUACAUACAUCGUGAUUACGCGUGAUUAAUAAAAAAACAUGGCCUUGGUUUUGUUCUGUUUGAUACAGAGAAAUGGUGACACAGUGAGAUGGUGAUACUUUUUAGAUGAUAAAUUAGGCUAUUCUUAAAUGUAAGAAAUCAUGAACCACACACUUGACUAUUUUUGACCUAGACAAGGCUCAUGGGUCGCGGAGUUCAUUCUUGUUGGUUGGUCACCACACCAACCACCUUUCAAAUAAUUAACAACCACAUAGGAUUAUGUUUUUUCCAGUGUCGAUUAAUUAAUAAUAUCUCUUAUCACCCCCACUGUAAACAAUAACUACAACUUUAGUCAACACUUCAAAUUGAUUAAGUUAAUUAAGAUGAUUUUAAAGCUUUCUCAUUUUUUCUUCUUCUUCGAAAAGUGACUAAAUACCAAAAAUUGUUAUGUAUGCUUUCUUACCCAACUUUCAUCUAUAUAUGUGUGGGUUUACGUUUUAGAUAUUUUAUUUUGAGGUUUUCUACUACCAAAAUUUAUAACAGUCAAAUUUUAUUAUUUUCAUAAAUAUGAGACUGAAAAAAUAUGUUUGUCUUUUAUUUACUUUAUAAGAAAAUAACAUUUUCCAGCAAACACUGUUUUUGGGAAAUUAAUUUUAGUCAUGAUUUCUGUUAAAAAAUCCCGUGCUGCAAUGGAGGUGGAAAACUAAAUUUUUAUUUAAAAUAAAUAUUUUCCUACCAAAAAUACUAUGCUAUUUUUAUUGAAUCAUUUAAUGAGGUAAAUUACAUAUUUUAUAAAUUACAUAUAAUUUCAUAAACGUCAAAAUUAUUUAGAAAAAUACAGUUUUAAAGCAUCAUUUCGUCUUUUUAAACUUGUUAUAGGUAUUUUGUCUUUUUAAAUUCCUUAUGUCUGGAGCUAGUGUGUUGUCUAGACCGAAUGAUCGAAAGUUGAAAGGUCGGUAACGAGAUGAAAAAUUAAACAAAAAUGAAUAAAUAAUCAAAUAAUAAAAUAUUGUGGCAAAACCCAUCAAAUAGGUUCAAAUAUGUACAAUAUGUUUAAUAAAUGUAAGGUAUGAAGAGUAAAAAUUCAAUUGGGUCCAAAGUCAAUAAGUGAGUACUAUAAAUAGGUGAUCAACUCAAUAGGUAAGUAAAGUGAAUUUUAUCGGGUAAUUAAGCAAAAUCGAUCUUGACUUUAUUUAUCGGAACCCCUUGCAUACGUUCGAGAGCUAAUUUUGAGCCCACAAGAGUUCAAGUCAAUCCAGUACAACAAGUGAGAAUCUAUAACCUACAUCUAAAUUCAAGCCUAAAUCAACGAAUAAUGUAGUCGAAAGUCCAAACCCAAACCAGUAACUAGUGUAGUCGAAAGCACAAAUCCGAAUCAGGAGACCAUAUGAAGCCGAGAAGUCUUGGGAAAAAAAAAAUUUCUUCUAGGCCUUGUAAGAGCAUUUAGGAAUAUGGUAUUUUUUUAAAAAAAAUACCAUGUGUUAUUUUUAUUGAACCACUUAAUGUGAUAAAAAGAAAAAGAGUUAUGAAAUAGCCUAAAGUGAUUCUAGUGCUGCUUUCCUACCCAACUGGUGAUAAUAUUCCAUUCAUUUAGUGAAUAGAAUUUUGGUAUUUUGGCAUCCAGUUAGAAUAUGACUCCUCAGACUCCAUUCCUAUUAAGCCAUCAUCUUACCAAUCACCUAUCAAUAACUAUUCACCAUUCACAAUUUGUUAGAAUUUUAAAGAUAAUAGUAUUUUAUAAUAUAUAAAUUAAAUACAUAUUUAUUUAUAAGGUAAUUUUAUAAAAUUAAAUUAAAUUUAAAGUUAUUUUUUAAUACAAAUUAAAAUAAAACAUUGGUAAUAGUUUUAGAGAGUUGGUGAAAAAGAUAAUUAUUUAAAAAAUUAAAAUUGUGAAUAAAAUAAGUUUUUUUUCAUUAAUGUAAAAUUUCAAAAAUAUUAAAUACGUUCCUAAAAAGAAUUUACAUCAUUCUCGUUCCUUUAAAUUCCAAACAAAUUUUUAAUAUCCUCUAAAAUUCGAACAUGUUUUUUAAAUAUUUAUUAAUAACAAUCAUAUAAAAAAUAUAUGUAAAUGACUAUCUUAGCCUGAUAUUAUUAUUAAAAAAUAAUUAUAAUAUCCAUAUAUUAAAAAAAUCAUUAACAUCGAUUUUUCAUUUAUCGUUAUCGUUAAUUAUGAUUUAAGAAAAAAUAAAGAAAAUAAUAUAUUUUUUUCAAUGAUGUAUUUAAUAUAUUAAAAUUUUCAUGGACAUGUAGAUAGUAAUUUAUCGUAAAAUUAUUUAAUUAAUAUUUUAAUAUUUGUACUUUUUCUUUUAUCAAAAUAAAAAUUGAAAACAACAUCGUUAGAAUUGAGGAGGGAAUUUGGACGAAGAGGAAUGAGUGAAUUUGUGAGAAUUAAAGAGGAUGUGUAAGGUUAUUUAGAUUGAGAGAUGAUAAAGUCAAAUUGUAAGGACAAUUUAUUGAAAUUUGAGAAUGAGAGGAAAUUUAAAAAUUAUUUUAAAAGUAUAAAAUGUAAGUUUAUAAAUUUAUCUUUAUUUUUAAAAAAUAUUUGAAUAAUAAGUAUGAUUUUUUUUUUAAUGUUUGAGUUAUGAUACAUUUUAUUUUUUAUUAUUUACUUGGAAAAUUUAUUUUCUCUCAAGUCAAACACUCUUCCGAUCUCAAAAGAGAGAGAGACAAAUAUCUUUGAUGUGUUUUGAAUAAAUAAAAUUGAUUUUUUUAUAUUUUAAUAAAGUAACAUACACAUAUUUCAUUUUAUUUAAAAUUUUAAUAUUCACAAAACUUAAUGAAAGAAAUUAAAGUGUUUUAUAAAAAAUUAAAUAGUUUAAUAAAGUGAGAUACAAGUUUUGUUUUAUAAGGAAUAUGUUUUAAAGACUAAUUUUAUUUGAGAUAUUGCAGUUAUUGCUGAUCUCGUGAGUUUUCACUUACAUUAAAAAUUGAACAAAAAAAAUCAGUUAAAAAUUGAAAAAUUGAAUACAAAAUCUCAGUUAAGUAUAUGGUUUAAAACAAUAUAAAAAAAUAAUUUACAACAUAAAUAAUAUUUAAUAUAAAAAAAAUAAACAUAAAAACAGUAAACCCUAGACCCUACAUCAAAAUAAAUACAUAAAACAAUGUAUAUUUUUAAAAAAAACAUCACAUGAUUCUAUCAAAACUUACAUCUAUAAACAAUUUUUUUUUUCAUAUCAAACAGUAAACAUAAAACAAAAAAACUAUAAAAAUUAAUGAACUUAACUGUGAAGACUAGUGUCAAACAGUGAAGAAAAACACCACCACCUCAAUCACAGAACGAGAUCCAACUUGAAACAAGAUAAAAAAAUAAUUACAAUUUUUUCAAACUAAAAAAAGAAAAACAAGACAGCUGUAUACAUUUAAAAGGAAUUCAAUAUCGAGGGAAAUACUUAUAUCCUACUUCUCACCCGGAAACAACUCUCAAAAGAUCUCUACUUCUCACCAUACCAACACUCAAAUGAAUGAAAGCACAACAUGUUCACGGGCUGAAAAAAUUCAAGUCAAAAGAUUCCUCAGUGUAUGGUGCAGUGUGUGUUGCAUUCUUUCGUGCAUGUGUUGCGUUCUUUCGUGCAUUGAUUUCUCACAGUGGUGUCAGUCAUGAGACCAAUUUUAUUUCAUGCAUUCACAGUUGCAAAGUUAUGUUAAGGGUAUUAAGGUAAAAUACUUAUAUCCUACAUGGACAUCUGUGAUCAUCUCUGCAUAUAUAAGAGAAAAGCAGAAUGCAUCUAACUCGCCCGUCUGCACCCUCACCUUCAAACACAACAUCCUUCCACUCGUUCAUUCGCACUGCAACUCCAUCAACUGAUCCAAACACAGUGUUAAUGGAAUAGUUUUUAUACAGUUAAUUUUACCUUAUUAGAUAAGAUAAAUAUAAGUGUGAUGUCACUUAUAUAUUAAUCAUGAGUAUAUUUUAUAAUGGUAUUUAAAAGUGCUAGUUAAAUAAAAUGAUAUUUACAUUAUUUAUGUAUUAUGAGUGGGAUAUAUUUCUAAUGAAAGUAAAAUUUUCUCUAAAAUCAUAAUUAAACACAUUUUCUUAUUUUUUUAAUAAGAAUUGACUUCUACAAAAGAAAAGAAAAAUUAAAUGUGAAAAAUGAUUUCAUUUUCUUAAAUAUUUAUGAUAUACACACAUAGUAUUUUAAAUAUCAUUUUUAAUAUUAAUUUAGUAAAUGAAAUAUUGAUAUUCUUUUCGUUCCUAAUAAUUUUUUAAAAAAUCUUGAAAACUCCUCUUUCAUUUUCUCUUGUAUCAUUUUUUUCUUUUUUACUACUCUAAAAGGCUAUAAUGCUUUUCUUGUUUUUCUUAAGAAGAUUAAAAAAUUAAAGUGUUUAUUUUAUAAAAAUGUAAUAUUCUUAAUUGUGUUUUCUACAAAUUUUUCUGUUAAUAAACAAAUAAAUGCCAUGUCAAACAUGUAGUCAAAAUAAAAAAUCUAACAUAAAAUGAAACAAAACAAAACAUACAAAAACCACACCAAACAUACAUUAAUACUAUUAUUUGAUGGGAUUACUAAUAUUUUUAAAUUAAAAUUUACACUACAAAGAAUAAUGAUUUUAAUACAGGUAAAAAAUAAUCAUAAAUAAAAAAGUGGACAUUAAAACGUGAUUAACGUUUACCUUUCAUUCAUUAAAAAGUUUACAUUUUAUACGUGAAAGCUAUUAAAUCUUCUAUAUCGGUAUAUGUAGGAGACGUAUCGUGAUCAAAUAGAGACAAAUUAUACGAUUAAUAUUUAAUAAUUUAUUAUUUUAUGUACAAAUAGUUAGUCACAAUUAUUCUCUCAUAGAUAUAAAAUAUUUUACUUAUAACACUUCAUAAUUUAUUUAUUUUAUGUUACUUUUUUUUUCACUUCUAUGUACACGGAUAAGGAAAGUUAUUAAUAUUAAUAAAAGGAAAAGCUCAAUUUCUUAUUCCCUUAUGAAAAAAAAUAAAUCCAAAUGACAAGUAGAAAUUCAAAUGAAAAUUAUUCUAGAUCCCAGAAUACAGAAGUAAACAUUUUUUAUGUAACCAUUUAAUUUAUUUGUAAGAAAUAUUUUUUUAUCAGCAUUUGCAAGAAAUUUUCAAAUUCUGAUUCCAUUAAACACAUGAGAAAAAUCGGAAUGCAAAAUAGAAAUUUAUUAAAUACACCCACUAAUUAAAUUAAAUGACCAUUUAGACUAUUACUAUUAUCAUUAAAAUAAAAUAGGUACACACUCAUGAAAAAUAGAUCAUAUAUUCCAAAAUAUAGAAACUACUGUUUGUAUAUAUUAAUACAGUUAUUGAUAUUUUACGUGAUUAUUUUAUAUUAUUAAAGGAUUUCAUAAUGAAAAAAAUACUGUACUGUCAUUAAUUAAAGAAAAUACAUUCCAAUUAUAUCGUUUAAUUAAAUAAAAUAAUAUAAUUAUUUAAAAUAUUUGUAAUACAUUUACAAUUUUAACCUUUGCAGCAAAUACUACAUUAUAUAAUUUAAAAAAAUAUUGUAAUUACAGAAAAUUUAACAUUAUUAAUUAAACAAAUAAAUACUUUUUUAAUAAAUAUAAAUUAAUCAAUAAGAUCUCACGUAUAAGCAGAAAAGAUAAUAUUCUCUAUAAACUCAAAUGUAAAAAAAGAUAAUAUUUAAACUUUUUAAUACUAGUAUUCCUAAAGUAUCUUUUUAUUUAGUUUUAAAUAUUAUUUUCAAUAAAUAUAAAUAAAUAAAUAUAUUUAUUAUAUUAAAUAAAAACUACAUGUUUUAUCCAUAUGAAAAAGAGAAUAAUUUUGCUUACAGUUAGAUGCAAAAACAAUAUUUUAAAUUAAAGAGUAUUUUAAAUUUUAGCAACGAUGACGGUGGGAUCUACCUUUAUCGUACGGAGCUACCGACACCGACACGUUUUCGGUAAGGUUGGUGAGUCACCGGCGGUACCCGGUAAUGGACGAGCUCUCGCUGUAGCAAAUCGCAAUCUCACCGACCCCUUUGAUUUGGGUGUGAAAUCUAACGGCACAACGCCGGUUCCGGUGUCUAGUCAUAUGAGUGACCAUUGAUCACUAUAAAUAGCGAGACAACGUUCUUUCUCUUACCCUCACAACACUAAACCAGUCACUUGCUGUUUGGUUCUGCACUGUGGUGACUCUGGUUUGCUUCCACUCACUGAAUUUCUUUCUUCAGAACCCAUUCUUUCAUUCUUUGGAGGUUCGUUCUUCACGCUUCUUCUCUUCUCAUACGUUUUUUUUUCUUCUAUAAACCCUGUUUUGCUUACCAUCAUAAUUUAUAUAUCUUCCAUUUCCGGAACUGUAAGUAAUGUUUUAUUCCCAAUGUCUUGUCCUUAACUAGACCCUUACGGUUAUGGAUCUGAAUUUUCUUUAUAUUAUUUUCCUUUUCUUCUAUGCUUUUCACUAUUGUAGUUUGAUUAUUUGAAAUGGUAUGGUAUUUCUGUUGCAUUUUGAUCUUUUGUUGUAUAGAUCUGAUGCUUUAACGGGAAUAAUCUGUUCUAACUUAUUCUGUCCGGGUCUAGUUUAUGUGCCUCGUGUGAUACUGUUCAUUUAGUUUUUUCUUUGUUGAACCCUUUAGCGUUCUAAUUUUGUAAUUGAAACUAAUGUUUGAGGUAUAUGCUGUGCUUUAAUGUUUCUUGAAAGGACAAAAGUUAUGUGUAGAUCUUUUGCGCUGUUAUUGGAGUUUCGCUAAUUUAUGAAAUAAAGGGUAAUGGUGAACAUAGAUUACUAAAAUUAAAUUCAAAUUCAGAUUGAAGAACAACGCUAGUAAGUGCAUCUAAAUUUUCUUCUUUCAGAAAUUCAAGAUUCGUUCCAACUUGGUGCCCGGGAAUAUUCGUAUAUACUUUCUUAUCGUUUUGUCUGCAAUUAGUUUUUUAGGACCAUAAGUUUUUUCUGAAAGUAGAUCAGGAUGAACUAUUUUAAUCCAACUUGGCAUAAACUUUGAUGAUUUUCUAUCAAUUUGUUGUAGGGAUUUAUGCUUUAAUUAUUUUAGUUGGAAUAUGAUCUCGAAUCUCAGCUUCCAUUAUAGCACCAACUGAAGUAUUUUUGCUUAAGCAUUUGUACUUUGUAAAACUAAACGUUGUGUUUUCUGCAGCUUGAUAAAUGGCAUCUGAAACCUUUCUAUUCACAUCUGAGUCUGUGAACGAGGGUCACCCAGACAAGCUGUGCGACCAGAUCUCUGAUGCAGUGCUCGACGCGUGCCUUGCACAAGACCCUGACAGCAAGGUUGCCUGCGAAACAUGCACCAAGACAAACAUGGUGAUGGU